rnacentral:rRNA from 1 species
CAGCCGCCACGGGAAUACGUAGGUGGCAAGCGUUGUCCGGAAUUAUUGGGCGUAAAGGGCUCGCAGGCGGUUUCUUAAGUCUGAUGUGAAAGCCCCCGGCUCAACCGGGGAGGGUCAUUGGGAACUGGGAAACUUGAGUGCAGAAGAGGAGAGUGGAAUUCCACGUGUAGCGGUGAAAUGUGUAGAGAUGUGAGGAACACCAGUGGCGAAGGCGACUCUCUGGUCUGUAACUGACGCUGAGGAGCGAAAGCGUGGGGAGCGAACAGGAUUAGAUACCCCGGUAGUCCCUGUCUCUUAUACA